UACGAAGGGUGCAAACGUUGCUCGGAAUCAUUGGGCGUAAAGCGCACGUAGGCGGCUCCGUAAGUCGGAUGUGAAAUCCCUCGGCUUAACCGAGGACGUGCAUCCGAAACUGUGGAGCUCGAGUAUGGAAGAGGGUCGCAGAAUUCCCGGUGUAGAGGUGAAAUUCGUAGAUAUCGGGAGGAAUACCAGUGGCGAAGGCGGCGACCUGGGCCAAUACUGACGCUGAGGUGCGAAAGCGUGGGGAGCAAACAGG
rnacentral:rRNA from 1 species